CAGUAGCCGCGGGAAUACGUAGGGUGCAAGCGUUAAUCGGAAUUACUGGGCGUAAAGCGUGCGCAGGCGGUUAUAUAAGACAGAUGUGAAAUCCCCGGGCUCAACCUGGGACCUGCAUUUGUGACUGUAUAGCUAGAGUACGGUAGAGGGGGAUGGAAUUCCGCGUGUAGCAGUGAAAUGCGUAGAUAUGCGGAGGAACACCGAUGGCGAAGGCAAUCCCCUGGACCUGUACUGACGCUCAUGCACGAAAGCGUGGGGAGCAAACAGGAUUAGAUACCCCAGUAGUCCCUGUCUCUUAUAC
rnacentral:rRNA from 1 species